rnacentral:rRNA from 1 species
CUAAUCUGCGAUAAGCGCCGGUAAGGUGAUAUGAACCGUUAUAACCGGCGAUACCCGAAUGGGGAAACCCAGUGUGACUCGUCACACUAUCAUUAACUGAAUCCAUAGGUUAAUGAGGCGAACCGGGGGAACUGAAACAUCUAAGUACCCCGAGGAAAAGAAAUCAACCGAGAUUCCCCCAGUAGCGGCGAGCGAACGGGGAGGAGCCCAGAGCCUGAAUCAGCAUGUGUGUUAGUGGAAGCGUCUGGAAAGGCGCGCGAUACAGGGUGACAGCCCCGUACACAAAAGCGCAUGUGCUGUGAGCUCGAUGAGUAGGGCGGGACACGUGGUAUCCUGUCUGAAUAUGGGGGGACCAUCCUCCAAGGCUAAAUACUCCUGACUGACCGAUAGUGAACCAGUACCGUGAGGGAAAGGCGAAAAGAACCCCGGCGAGGGGAGUGAAAAAGAACCUGAAACCGUGUACGUACAAGCAGUGGGAGCACAGGUUUACCUG